rnacentral:rRNA from 1 species
UGAAUACGAGACGCUACGGCGUCGAAGUAGUGUAUGUCAUACUUCCAAGAAAAGCUCGCACUGUCAUAGGUAAAAAUGCCUGUACCAUAACCGACACAGGUGGGUAGGUAGAGUAUACUAAGGGGCGCGAGAUAACUCUCUCUAAGGAACUCGGCAAAAUGACUCCGUAACUUCGGGAGAAGGAGUGCCUUAUUUAUAAGGUUGCAAUAACAAGAUCCAAGCAACUGUUUACCAAAAACACAGGUCUCCGCUAAGUCGUAAGACGAUGUAUGGGGGCUGACGCCUGCCCAGUGCCAGAAGGUUAAAGAAGUUGGUUAGCAUUAGCGAAGCUGAUAACUGAAGCCCUGGUGAACGGCGGCCGUAACAAUAACGGUCCUAAGGUAGCGAAAUUCCUUGUCGGGUAAGUUCCGACCCGCACGAAAGGCGUAAUGAUUUGGAUACUGUCUCGGAGAGAGGCUCGGUGAAAUAGACUUGUCUGUGAAGAUGCGGACUACCUGCACCUGGACAGAAAGACCCUAUGAAGCUUUACUGUAACUUGAAAUUGAAAUUGGACUUUAGUCGCGCAGCAUAGGUGGGAGGCGUUGAGCAUGUUCUUGCGGGAACAUAGGAGCCAUCAGUGAGAUACCACUCUUCUAAUGUUAGAUUUCUAACCUUGUACCAUUAUCUGGUCAAGGAACAGUUUCAGGCGGGCAGUUUGACUGGGGCGGUCGCCUCCCAAAUGGUAACGGAGGCGUACAAAGGUUUCCUCUGAACGGAUAGAAAUCGUAUCUAGAGUAUAAAGGCAUAAGGAAGCUUGACUGUGAGACCUACAAGUCGAGCAGGGACGAAAGUCGGUCUUAGUGAUCUGACGGUACUGAGUGGAAAGGCCGUCACUCAACGGAUAAAAGUUACUCUAGGAUAACAGGCUGAUCUCCCCCAAGAGUUCACAUCGACGGGGAGGUUUGGCACCUCGAUGUCGGCUCAUCGCAUCCUGGGGCGGUAGUACGUCCCAAGGGUUGGGCUGUUCGCCCAUGAAAGCGGUACGCGAGCUGGGUUCAGAACGCCGUGAGACAGUUCGGUCCAUAUCCGGUGUAGGCGUUAGAAUAUUGAGAGGAGCCUUCUUUAGUACGAGAGGACCGAGAAGGACAUACCUCUGGUGUACCUGUUAUCGUGCCAACGGUAAACGCUGGGUAGCUAUGUAUGGAGUGGAUAACCGCUGAAAGCAUCUAAGUGGGAAGCCCACCUCAAGAUGAG